CCAAAACCAUUUUAAAUCUAGUAAAAAUGUAUCUUAAAAGAAAUUUAUAACACAAAUGUAUUAUACCAAACACUAUUUUUAAUAUAGAAUAAAAUAAUAGAAAUUAAAAGACUUAAUAGAACCACAAAAUAAACAUAUAAGUAUAUUUUGUCCGUUCGAUUAGAUUUGGUUGGGUUGAAACUUACUAUCGGAACUGAAAAUUUGUACAGUUGAGUAAACCGGCCAUAAGACGUGAUGACGUUUCAUCUCUCCCAAGUGAUGUCCUUAUUUUCAAAAGUUAAGUCGAAAAAGUUGCUAUUUUGAAUCCCUUCUUGUCAGAUUUUCACAAAUAUUGUAUCAAAUAAAAGGCAAUUACUUAAGGAAAAAAAGUGAAAAAAAUAUCGAAAUGUAUCAAUUUUUAAAAUUAUAAAUUUUUGGAGGAUUUGCGCCAUUUACAGAAAAUAAGGGAAACUUUUUCUUCUAGUCUUCAACUAGAUACGAUGUGUGAUCUUGUGACGUAUCAUUGAAAGAAAUCGGUUCAGUCAGAGCUGAGAAGAAGUGGCAACAUACACAGAAAAAAAACCAUAUAAUUGUAAAAUUAAUACCUUCUCAGCUUGGCAUAGAAGCUACAACUGAGAAAUUAGAAGUUCACCCAAAAUUAGUGUGUAUCGAUGCAGUGUAAAUAAAGGUGAUAUCAUAAAAAAAAUUGUCGAUUACUUUACUCAUUAAGGUAUUAUAGUUGGCAAAAUUAUUACCAACAAUCAGCAAAAUACACUACACUUCCACAAAACCAUUGACUUAACAAUUAACCCUUGAUUGCGAAAUUAACUAUUGAUUUGUAUCAAAGUUUAAAGAAGCUAAAAAACAUCAUGGAAAAAUUAAAACCUUCUCAGCUUCUCAUCGAAGCUAAAAAUCUAUUUCAGAUUUUGUGAGUAUCCCAAUAUUAUGUUUUAAGAAUUUUAUUACUAAAAUAAAAUUUUCACCAAAGAUUAAAUUUGUUCUACUUUCAGUAUUUAAUUUAUAUAUUUCUAAAUUUCGAUUUUAUUAAAGUUCUUCUGCUAAAAAUAUUGAUAAAUUUAACUAAACAGUUUUUAAAGUUUAUAAUAAGGUAAUUUUUUUUUUAUUUAUUGUAAUAACUAAAAAAAUGUAA